rnacentral:rRNA from 1 species
GACAGAGGGGGCAAGCGUUGCUCGGAAUCACUGGGCGUAAAGGGCGCGUAGGCGGGAUGGCAAGUCGGUCGUGAAAUCCCCGGGCUCAACCUGGGAACUGCAUCUGUGACUGCAUUGCUGGAGUGCGGCAGAGGGGGAUGGAAUUCCGCGUGUAGCAGUGAAAUGCGUAGAUAUGCGGAGGAACACCGAUGGCGAAGGCAAUCCCCUGGGCCUGCACUGACGCUCAUGCACGAAAGCGUGGGGAGCAAACAGG